AACUUUUAGCAAUGGAUCACUUGGCUCUCGCAUCGAUGAAGAACGCAGCGAAAUGCGAUAAGUAAUGUGAAUUGCAGAAUUGUGAAUCAUCGAAUCUUUGAACGCACAUUGCGCCUUUUGGUAAUUCCAAAGGGCAUACCUGUUUGAGCGUCAUUUCACUCUUAAAUCGUUUGAUUUAGUAUUGAACUUAUAUUUUUCUGUUGCAAAAUAGAAAAUAGUUUGAAAUUGAUUUGGCAAGAAGCAAUAUCCAGUUUGAAGCUUUCUUUUUACAACGUAAUAGGUUUUACCAACUCGUUGGCUAGUAAGGAGCUUUGUUAUAUUUGGAUAUAUCGCUUUGGCGUUAUAAUUUUUAAAAUUAAAAGUUUGACCUCAAAUCAGGUAAGACUACCCGCUGAACUUAAGCAUAUCAAUAAGCGGAGGC
rnacentral:misc_RNA from 1 species